rnacentral:rRNA from 1 species
GUUUAGGGGUAAACCUGAGAAACCCGAAAAGUCGAAAGGAAGAAAUUCAUUCGCGUUUCGCCAUUGACAUAAUUGUGUAUGCUAGACAAUAAUAAUAAUAUUAAUUUUCAUUCUUGUGGUGUAUAUUAAUAUAUGUGUUGCUACAUACCUAUUAUAAGUCUGAUGGUGAACGCGUGCAUUUUUCUUCUGGUAGGACGUUGCGAUCCGUUAGUAUAAUUAUCGAUCUAUGAUGUUUAGUGGUUUAGUUCAUUGAUACAUAUUUAUUUAUGAUAAUAUUAAUGAAGCCAUACAAUCUGAUCGAUUUACCUGACGGUAAUUAAAUGGUUAAGAGUCGCUAUGAUAUAUUAGCGUUAGAGGUUGAACAAGUAUAUAUAUUGUGUAAAGAUAAUAUUAUUAUUCGUAGUAAUAUUGUUCCCGGCAAUCGGUAUUUAUAUCAAUUCCGGGCCGUUUAUUUACUGUUAGUUCGACAUAUCUCUAACAGACUUUAUUAUUUUUUAAUAAAACCGUUCAGCAACGCUAUAGCUUUGGGUAAUUUCAGGACCCGUCUUGAAACACGGACCAAGGAGUCUAGCAUGUUCGCAAGCCAUUGGGAUAUUAAACCUACAGGCUUAAUGAAAGUAAAUAAUAUUUCAUGUUUCAUGAAAUAAAGGGAAGAUGAAUAAUGAUUUCGUAUUUAUAAUAUGAUGCAUUAUUUCGCAUUCCCGGGGCGUUUAAAUUUCAUUUACUGUUUAUUCAGUUAAAUGAGAUUAUGCGCACCAAGAGUGUACACGCUGGGACCCGAAAGAUGGUGAACUAUGCCUGGUCAGGACGAAGUCAGGGGAAACCCUGAUGGAGGUCCGUAGCGAUUCUGACGUGCAAAUCGCAUCGUCGGAAC